rnacentral:rRNA from 1 species
AUUGAACGCUGGCGGCAAGCCUAACACAUGCAAUUCGAACGAGUGGCGGACGGGUGAGUAAUGUCUGGGAAACUGCCUGAUGGAUGGGGAUAACUCCUGGCAACGGUAGCUAAUACCGCAUACCAUCGGAUGUGCCCAGAGGGGAUUAGCUAGUAGGUGGGGUAAAGGCUCACCUAGGCUACGAUCCCUAGCUGGUCUGAGAGGAUGACCAGCCACAAUGGAACUGAGACAAGGUCCAGAGUCCUACGGGAGGGAGCAGUGGGGAAUAGUGCACAAUGGGCGAAAGCCGGAUGCAGCCAGGCCGCGGGUAUGAAGAAGGCCUGAGGGUUGUAAAGUACUUUAAGCGGGGAGGCGUUACCCACAGAAGAAGCACCGGCUAACUCCGGGCCAGCAGCCGCGGUAAUAC